rnacentral:rRNA from 1 species
GAUGAACGCUGGCGGCGUGCCUAAUACAUGCAAGUCGAGCGAACAGACGAGGAGCUUGCUCUUCUGAUGUUAGCGGCGGACGGGUGAGUAACACGUGGAUAACCUACCUAUAAGACUGGGAUAACUUCGGGAAACCGGAGCUAAUACCGGAUAACAUGUUGAAACGCAUGGUUCAACAGUGAAAGACGGUCUUGCUGUCACUUAUAGAUGGAUCCGCGCCGCUUUAGCUAGUUGGUAAGUUAACGGCUUACCAAGGCAACGAUGCGUAGCCGACCUGAGAGGUGGAUCGGCCACACGGGAACGGGAACACGGUCCAGACUCCUACGGGAGGCAGCAGUAGGGAAGCUGCCGCAAUGGGCGAAAACCUUACGGAGCAACGCCGCGUGAGUGAAGAAGUUCUUCGGAUCGUAAAACUCUUUUAUUGGGGAAGAACAAAUUUGGAAGUAACUAUUCACGUCUUGACGGUACCUAAUCAGAAAGCCACGGCUAACUACGUG